GGGCGCCGCUUGAGGGAUGAAGGCCUUCGGGUUGUAAACUUCUUUCAGCAGGGAAGAAGCGCAAGUGACCGUACCUGCAGAAGAAGCGCCGGCUAACUACGUGCCAGCAGCCGCGGUAAUACGUAGGGCGCAAGCGUUGUCCGGAAUUAUUGGGCGUAAAGAGCUCGUAGGCGGUUUGUCGCGUCUGCUGUGAAAACCUGAGGCUCAACCUCGGGCUUGCAGUGGGUACGGGCAGACUAGAGUGCGGUAGGGGUGACUGGAAUUCCUGGUGUAGCGGUGGAAUGCGCAGAUAUCAGGAGGAACACCGAUGGCGAAGGCAGGUCACUGGGCCGCAACUGACGCUGAGGAGCGAAAGCAUGGGGAGCGAACAGGAUUAGAUACCCUGGUAGUCCAUGCCGUAAACGUUGGGCACUAGGUGUGGGGCUCAUUCCACGAGUUCCGUGCCGCAGCAAACGCAUUAAGUGCCCCGCCUGGGGAGUACGGCCGCAAGGCUAAAACUCAAAGAAAUUGACGGGGGCCCGCACAAGCGGCGGAGCAUGCGGAUUAAUUCGAUGCAACGCGAAGAACCUUACCAAGGCUUGACAUACACCGGAAAAGUGCAGAGAUGUGCUCCCCGCAAGGUCGGUGUACAGGUGGUGCAUGGUUGUCGUCAGCUCGUGUCGUGAGAUGUUGGGUUAAGUCCCGCAACGAGCGCAACCCUCGUCCUAUGUUGCCAGCACGUCAUGGUGGGGACUCAUAGGAGACUGCCGGGGUCAACUCGGAGGAAGGUGGGGAUGACGUCAAAUCAUCAUGCCCCUUAUGUCUUGGGCUUCACGCAUGCUACAAUGGCCGGUACAAAGGGCUGCGAUACCGCGAGGUGGAGCGAAUCCCAAAAAGCCGGUCUCAGUUCGGAUUGGGGUCUGCAACUCGACCCCAUGAAGUCGGAGUCGCUAGUAAUCGCAGAUCAGCAACGCUGCGGUGAAUACGUUCCCGGGCCUUGUACACACCGCCCGUCAAGUCACGAAAGUCGGUAACACCCGAAGCCGGUGGCCCAACCCUUGUGGAGGGAGC
rnacentral:rRNA from 1 species